rnacentral:tRNA from 1 species
UCCGAUAUGGUGUAGUGGCCAACAUGAUGCCCUCUCAUCUCACAGUGAGAGGUUAGGCAUAGCCCCGAGUUCGAUUCUCGGUUUCGGAA